AGAGGGCAGCAGAUUUUCCUCAAGAUUUUCACUGUAUUUUGCCCCAUUUUUCCUUCUAUCCUUACAAGUGCUCCAGCCCCUUCUGCAGAAAAACUUCCCCAUAACAGGAUAUUACUUCUUGGUCACCUCUCUGACCCUGGCUCCUUCAUCCAGAGCGACGUCCUGAUCCAGGGAGGGUCUGUGUUGUAACAAACCUUCCACUUCUUAAUAAUAGACUUCACUGUGCUUCUAGCCAGUGAUACUGUAAAUGUCUCCAUCUCCUAACUUGUUCCUGUCUACAGCUUUAUCCCAGAGGAUUUUUGUCAGUGCCUUGCAACCCAUAGUUGAUCAUUGGCUUCAGUUGCACUACCAAGGACUGAAAUGCUCCAGGCUGCACAGCAACAACAUGCAUUAUUUUAAAGGGGAUGAUCCUUUUCUAUACCCAUUGUAUAUGAAAUAUCUUAUCCAGCCUUUCCACCUGCUGUUUACUUGGACACUGUCAAGAGAAAUCACACGUCAAUAUUUCUGACUCAACAGAGCAGAGAAAGGCAAAGGCUCAAGCUUACUACAGCCUACACCCUUUAAAGAGCCAAUUAGGAGAAGAUAAAACUGUGUGCCAGAACAGUGUGAAAAUACACUGUAUAAAAGACUGAGCUCUCUUGGACGUAGCACGGUUAACGAAAAAGCCCCAUCGCCGCAGGCUACAAGGAGCGCCAAGAAACCACACCUGCCAAAGACAGACUCCAUCACGAGAGCAAUAUCAGGUUUUACUGCAGGGGUGUGUGUGUGUGUGUGUGUGUGUAUGCCUCUGAGGAAACAAAGCCUUUUAAACACCUUUUCGUCUACACAUCAUCCAAAGGUACAAGCACAACCUCCGAGCAAUGCCUUCAACUCUGGGAAAACAUUACACGCAGCACAUGUUCGGCUUUAGGACACUGGAAACGAAAGGAAAAAGAAAAAAUUAAAGUAUAAAGGACUAGCAGAAAGAAGUGAAGAGGAAGAAAUUUCAGUCAUGUAACCUUGGGGAGUUAAGAGGUUCUGGUUUGCUGGGUGUAUGAGGUUGAGACCAGGGAAAUAGGGAAUCAUCAUGGUGGUAACCACUGGUUGUUCAGGAAACUCAAGGAUAUCAUCAACUCAGAUUAGAAUUUAAACUAAAUCAAAACUAUACACACACACACACACAUUUUUUUUCAUAAAAAAAUUCUUUUCAUAAAGCUUAAGUAAACAUCCACAUAUCAGCAUCAAAACAGAUGUCUAUGAAAUUCACGCCUGUGUGCAUAAUUGCUUUCAGAAUGAGUGUAAUCUCUCCCUCCUUCCAUCUUUCUCUUUCUCUGUCUCUCUCCGCUGCUUUUUGACUCUCUUUCCAGCAUCAAAGAAAGAGAAAGGAAACAUGCAGGCAUUGUGGGAGGAUUACGAAACAGAAAAAAGAGGUACUCACAGUGGUACAUAUGCACCAGUAUGCAGGUGGCUUUAUGAAGAUCAUUUCCCUCCCUCCUGUUUCCCAGUGGAAAUGGAUGUCCAUUAAAGAUGACAUCACACAGGCACUAGAAAAGCCAUGAGCAGCUGUGGCCCAUAAGAGAGGCUCAGCUAUCCUGUAAUGUCUCAUAUGAGUCUUGCAGACUCAUGCACACACACACACACACACACACAGCAGCGUCAUGGCUAUGGGGAAAACAAAUGGCACAGCUAACCUAACACACCAAUAGAGAGAAGUGAUUAUAACAGCACACACACAAACCAUAGGUUAGAAAAAUCACUCUCUUUACUGUAUAGGAGAAAACAAAUGAGAUUAAAUCAAGACUUUUGCUCCAUAUAUUCCAUAUAUAUGAGAAACAGACAAAGAGUAAAAAUAUCAUGUGUCUACUCAAGAGCUGAUGCAGAUUAUCUCAAACUCUGCUCAGAUUUGCACCAAACACCAAAGUCUGCAGUCAUAAGCCAAAGAUUUAAAAUUAAACUCAAACAUUUCUCAGCAAAUCCUUAAAAGACCAAUUUGUAUGUGUGUGUUAUUUGUGUCUGUUUUUAUUUUAUUACAUUUUUAAGGAAUUAUAGGAAGACAAGGUUGAUAAUUCAAUGAUACCGUACAUUACAUAACUGCAGUGGUGGACAGUAACG